UGCAACAUGGCGGGAGACCCGGCAGAGGCGGGAGGCGUGCUUGUCCGGUGGCCUCGCCCCGUGCACUGCUGGCAAAUGUUACCCGCCAGGGAAAGCCCCCCGGGGCCUGCAGUGGUCCUGCGCCAGCUCGGUCUCGCGCCUGCUCCGCGUCCCUAGUUCCCUCGUGUCCCCUCAGGCACAAGGCAAAUGCCAGCCACCUGGACACGAAGCCAAUCAGGUUCAGGAAUGCUGAGGAAGCAUGUGGAUUCCGCAAGUCCCUGAUCCGCACAGAUCCAGCUCUGCCAACGCCAACCACCACCACUCCGAACUUCCUCUCAGGCUGAAACACAAGGGACCAAGGUCUCAGCAAGUCUGCAACCUGGAAGAGAGCCCUCACCAGAACCUGACCAAGCAGCCUGAUCUCAGACUUGUACCCUCCAGAACUGUAAGAAAUAAAUUUCUAUUCUUUUAUAAG